UUUUGAUUUGUUUUACCCCUCAAAUUGUUAUGGCAUUUGACUUUUUGAGAACAUUUCUUUACCAUUUCUUUGAUGUUUGACAUUUUUGAUACUUGACAAUUUUUCAAUUUUGCAUUUUUGAACAUUUUUCAAAGUUGCCCCAUUUGUAGCAAGGGUGCUUUUAUUAAAGCAUAGAAGUCUAUUUUUGCUCCUCUUUUCAUUUGAUGCAAUUUGUGCAAAAAUUUUUAUUUUCAUUUUGGUACUUGAACUCAAUUUGGAGAUUUUUGUGGUCAUUCCCUUUUUGUUGACAAAAUAUGAUGAUAGAAGUGAAAGAACGGUUGCAUGGCAUCAAAGGUCACCUUGGAGUAAACGGUAGCCAAAGAGUCAUCGCACCACAAGGUACUCUUGACUAGGACUUAGUCCAUGGGUCAAAAGAUACUAGUAUGACACAUCCUAGGGUGUCUUGAGGGUAUUCUAGCAAACAAAGUCUCAAGGAGAAAAAAUAUCUACAAGGGCCUUAUAUACACUUGUGAAGAUUCCCAAAUAGGCAUUUUCAGAAAAUCUUUCUAUCCAUGCAAACUACUUGCCAUGAUGCAACUAGCAUAUAUACAACCUAAUGCAUAUGCUACUAUCACUAGUAUGCUCUAUAAUCUAAAUGCAACUCCUAACAACACAUAUAUACACAGACCACCAACAACAACAAUCCAUCCUCCUUCAUUUCAAAUCCCCCCUCUUCAUCACCCA
rnacentral:misc_RNA from 1 species